UCCCUGGGGGACUAGUGGUUAGGCCACAGCAUCCUCACUUCUGUGACCCGCGUUCGAUUCCCAGCCAGGGAA
rnacentral:tRNA from 1 species